GGCGGCAGGCCUAACACAUGCAAGUCGAGCGGAUGACGGGAGCUUGCUCCUUGAUUCAGCGGCGGACGGGUGAGUAAUGCCUAGGAAUCUGCCUGGUAGUGGGGGACAACGUUUCGAAAGGAACGCUAAUACCGCAUACGUCCUACGGGAGAAAGCAGGGGACCUUCGGGCCUUGCGCUAUCAGAUGAGCCUAGGUCGGAUUAGCUAGUUGGUGGGGUAAUGGCUCACCAAGGCGACGAUCCGUAACUGGUCUGAGAGGAUGAUCAGUCACACUGGAACUGAGACACGGUCCAGACUCCUACGGGAGGCAGCAGUGGGGAAUAUUGGACAAUGGGCGAAAGCCUGAUCCAGCCAUGCCGCGUGUGUGAAGAAGGUCUUCGGAUUGUAAAGCACUUUAAGUUGGGAGGAAGGGCAGUAAGCUAAUACCUUGCUGUUUUGACGUUACCGACAGAAUAAGCACCGGCUAACUCUGUGCCAGCAGCCGCGGUAAUACAGAGGGUGCAAGCGUUAAUCGGAAUUACUGGGCGUAAAGCGCGCGUAGGUGGUUUGUUAAGUUGGAUGUGAAAGCCCCGGGCUCAACCUGGGAACUGCAUCCAAAACUGGCAAGCUAGAGUACGGUAGAGGGUGGUGGAAUUUCCUGUGUAGCGGUGAAAUGCGUAGAUAUAGGAAGGAACACCAGUGGCGAAGGCGACCACCUGGACUGAUACUGACACUGAGGUGCGAAAGCGUGGGGAGCAAACAGGAUUAGAUACCCUGGUAGUCCACGCCGUAAACGAUGUCAACUAGCCGUUGGAAUCCUUGAGAUUUUAGUGGCGCAGCUAACGCAUUAAGUUGACCGCCUGGGGAGUACGGCCGCAAGGUUAAAACUCAAAUGAAUUGACGGGGGCCCGCACAAGCGGUGGAGCAUGUGGUUUAAUUCGAA
rnacentral:rRNA from 1 species